rnacentral:rRNA from 1 species
UGCUAGACGAGUUUGAUCCUGGCUCAGAACGAACGCUGGCGGCGCGCCUAACACAUGCAAGUCGAACGAGAAUCCGGGGGCAACCCGGUAGUAAAGUGGCAAACGGGUGAGGAAUACAUGGGUAACCUACCCUUGAGAAGGGAAUAACCCGCCGAAAGGUGAGCUAAUACCCUAUACGCUAUCUUUUUUUCGAAAAGGAUAGGAAAGCCGGGUCGAGGACCUGGUACUCAAGGAGGGGCUCAUGUCCUAUCAGCUUGUUGGUGGGGUAACGGCCUACCAAGGCUACGACGGGUAGCUGGUCUGAGAGGAUGAUCAGCCACACUGGCACUGAGAUACGGGCCAGACUCCUACGGGAGGCAGCAGUGAGGAAUAUUGCGCAAUGGGCGAAAGCCUGACGCAGCGACGCCGCGUGGGGGAUGAAGGUUUUCGGAUUGUAAACCCCUUUCAUGAGGAAGAUAAAGUAGGGUAACCACUUAGACGGUACCUCAAGAAGAAGCCACGGCUAACUUCGUG